CCUACGGGAGGCAGCAGUGGGGAAUCUUGCGCAAUGGGCGAAAGCCUGACGCAGCAACGCCGCGUGCGGGAAGAAGGCUUUCGGGCUGUAAACCGCUUUCAGCAGGAACGAAAAUGACGGUACCUGCAGAAGAAGGAGCGGCCAACUAUGUGCCAGCAGCCGCGGUGAUACAUAGGCUUCAAGCGUUGUCCGGAUUUAUUGGGCGUAAAGAGUUCGUAGGCGGUCAAGUAAGUCGGGUGUGAAAAUUCUGGGCUCAACCCAGAGACGCCACCCGAUACUGCUUAACUUGAGUUCGAUAGGGGAGUGGGGAGUUCCUAGUGUAGCGGUGAAAUGCGCAGAUAUUAGGAGGAACACCGGUGGCGAAGGCGCCACUCUGGAUCGAUACUGACGCUGAGGAACGAAAGCAUGGGUAGCAAACAGGAUUAGAUACCCUGGUAGUCCAUGCCGUAAACGGUGGGCACUAGGUGUGGGUUUCUAUUAACGAAAUCCGCGCCGUCGCUAACGCAUUAAGUGCCCCGCCUGGGGAGUACGGUCGCAAGACUAAAACUCAAAUGAAUUGACGG
rnacentral:rRNA from 1 species